CGAGAUAAAGCCAAACCUGCCGGAAGGCAGGGACGGAAAGCUGCGGGUCUUAGUAGAUAGCCGGGCUGCCUUGA
rfam:Desulfopila aestuarii DSM 18488 genome assembly, contig: EJ45DRAFT_scaffold00009.9